CACGCCCCUGGCGCCCGAUGUGACGCCGAGCAAUGCGGGGGUCACCUGCGCGAGCUUGCGCAGCGCGGUCACGUCAUCGCUUUCGCCUGCGGUGGCGUGCAGCGCCUCCGCCGAAAAGACGAUGUGCGAGGCGACCUGCAGCAGCCCUUCGCGCAUCGACAUCAUCCGGUCGCCGUCGAUGACGACGGGAAUGCCGCGGCGAUGGGCU
rnacentral:misc_RNA from 1 species